UUUCGGUCCUUUCGUGACGAUUAACUGUAAAUCCCGCCAGGCCCGGAAGGGAGCAACGGUAGCGGGGACAUUGGGUGCGAAGGAGUGCUGAUUCAG
rnacentral:SRP_RNA from 1 species